GGUUAAACAUACACUGGAGACUGUAUUUUUCUUUCUUCAUCUCCUCUUCCUCCAACAGCCUCAAGGGCUUGUUAAAUUUUUCCUCCAAUGUCUUGGCUAACUUCUUCUUCGUUGUUCCAUUCCUGUCAUUGCCAUUGCCUUUCUCCACGUCCUACUUCACUGCGCUGGGAGACAGUGGGAGAAUUUCAGUUAAAAAUCUUCAUGUGAGAGUUUUGGCUGACUAAACAAAGAGUGCACGGUCUGGUGGGGAAGACACACAUUUGGAGAUGACAGUGCUGUGACCAGGGAGCUCACACAGUGCUGCAGACCACAUGGAGGGAGGCCACACUGGGAAUGCUCAAGCAUGUUUUCUACAUUGGAAGACAUAUUUAAAAUCUCAGUAGCCCAAACUGAAAGGUAUGUUAAGCACAGAAAACACCCAUGAAUAUUGGGCUUGGUGUUACCCAGUCUCACCUUGAGGUCUCGAAGUGUGUCCUCCACAGUUACCCUAGGACAUGAACACCCGUGAUGUACCAUGAGCCCAAGGUGACAGAACCAAGUGACUGUAGACUGAAAUCUCUGACCCCAUGGCACAAAGUAAACCUCUCCCUCCUAUUUGGUCACAGCCAUGCAAAGGUGCAUGCCUGGGUGAGCACAGCCAUACCGACCACACAUACAAAAGAAAGACAUUCUCUAUCAACUCCAACCAAGCUGGAGUUGGUUCUUCCAGAGGAGCUAAGAAUGGUGACCAAUUGACUUCCAUGACACUGAAUAAGUGAUGUCUUGCUUUAUGAUAUUUGGCUUCUGUUAUUACAAAUAAUUAAUACCAGAUAAAGUUGGGCCAUGAUAAAUGCUAUGAUAAUCUCUUUAGGGCAAAGGACUGUGUGCUGUAUGAAACAUUCAAAAUUGGAUUUUUUUUUUCUACUAAGACUCUGAAACUUCAAAGGCAGCCUGAUGACUGUACAUGGAAAAGAGUUUUCUUGGAACAUGGCCAACCUUUUCUUAGUUGAUUGUUUCUGAAUUAAUCUUAUUUAAUCAUCUCUGAUGCCCUGCACUGUGGCUCCCUUUCGCACAGAUUGGAUGGUUCUCUGGCCGGACUGCACGGAGCAUGUUUCGGGAGGUAAGAUGCAGCAAACGUAAACUGAAGUGGAUGGCUCUCCUUCGAGGACAACAUUUAUUUCCGCCAGAUCCUGACUGACUUCCUGAGAGCCUACGGUUCCAGACAGCAAUCAGAGGAUAGUGUUGCUAAAUUGGUCAGCACAGAAAUUUUGAGAUUAAAACCCAAAGUCCAGAAUUCUUCAGCAGAUGGAGAAAUGGAGCCUGAAGGAGACUGACUUACAUUGAGGGUUGGCUAUGAAUUAGAGGCAGGUCAAGGCAAGAAAAGCCCAGGUCAUCCUUGACGGACUCAUAUUCUACAGGAGGUACAGAGACUUUUGUCUUUCCCGAUUCUUUCUACUCCUGGUUCCAAAUCCCAGGUUUUGCUGAUGAAAUAAACUGAGAGAUGGAGUUUAAGUGGUCCUCACAUAAGGAAAUGAAGAUACAGGGCUCCAGGGAUAAGGAGGAUUGCCUGAAAGCGGCCUCCACAUACCAAGGAGUCUCUUCCCCUUUCUUGGUUCUUCCCUGAACUCCAUAUUCAGUCAAAUUUAUUUCUCCUCAGAGUCCUUUUAGUCUUUGCUUAAUGAGACUGCUGGUUGCCAAGGGUGGGAUUGCCAUUCAGUUAUGCACAGCUUGUAUUCAUCUUCCUGAGAAAGGACAUGGCAUAUGAAAGGAUUGCCAAGGGCAACCGUGGUGGCAUUUCUGAGAGAGCAGCGGCAUUCCCAGCAGUGAGAGGAAACACCAAGUGCUCAGUAGCGGAUGGAGGGUGGUGAUGGCAGGAGGCAGGACUCCUAGAGGAAUUACAACACUCCUACACUGCCAGGCCUCUAGUGCCCAUUAGACCUGCUUGUUUUGUAAGCAUCCGGGAGUCUGGUUUGCAGGAUAUACCUGAGCCAAGUUUAGGCUGGAAGGAAAUUUGUGGGGAGGAAAAUUUGCUUAGUUGCAAAUGAGUUAGAACAGCCUGAUGCCCUUCGUAGAUCAAACAACACUUCACUGCUGGCUACUGGCUUUAGAUACCCAAACCGAUUCUUCAUUGAGGCCCAUUGCUAAGAAAUGCAGCUCUUUGACUUGCCUAUAGUAAGGCACCAAACAAUGCCCUUAAAGGCUCAGCAAUGACUUGGAAUAGAACUUGUGGAGUGUGUAGCCUGGCCAGGACAGAGUAGCUGGCAAGCUGGCUGGACUCAGUCUUCAUGUUUUAGACCAGAAGCAAAGAAAAUGGCUACUCUUCACUCUGUUGUCUGUGUAUUGCUUGGGGAGACAGUGGGCAAAAGAAGCUGCUGUUCUGUGUUGUAGGCACUUUUGGUGGUUCCAACCACAUUCUCCCCUCACCUCAGUGCCUCAAUUCUGUGCAAACCCUACAUUUCCUCUCAAGGGGGGCGUGGGGGGUGGGAGGUGGGAAAGGCUUUGUAGCAAUGCAUAUGACAGGAAAUACAUAGUUUGAUUGGGAUGAGUUUCAUUUUUAAUUAAUUAAGCUGGUUCCUUCUUCAAAUUCAAACUUUAAACACAGAGCCACAGUUUAGAGAACAACUCCCCAAAUUAGAAAGGAAACCUCACGUUUUUGUUGAGGUAUAAAUGACAUUAAAAUAAACUACAUUCUUAAAGGGUGCGAUUUAAUGUGCUUUGACGUAUGGAUCACCACUUGAUUAUGGUGAAAUCAUCACCACAUAAUGAAAACAUUCAUCACUUCCUCCCCAGAUUUCCCUCGUGCUCCUUUGCAGUCAACCGUGCUCCCUUUUCCUGACCCAGCCUAUGGACCCCUAGCAUCCCCAGGCAGCAGGCACCAGUUUACCUUCAUCUUAGUUUCCAUUUUCUAGCAGUUUAUAUAAAUAAAAUCACAUAGCGCACACUCUUUCUUUGGUCCAGUUCCUUCUGGUGAACUUUAUUAGUUUGUUGUGU
ensembl:lincRNA